UACGUAGGGGGCAAGCGUUGUCCGGAUUUAUUGGGCGUAAAGAGCGUGUAGGCGGCCAGACAGGUCCGUUGUGAAAACUCGAGGCUCAACCUCGAGAUGUCGAUGGAAACCGUCUGGCUAGAGUCCGGAAGAGGAGAGUGGAAUUCCUGGUGUAGCGGUGAAAUGCGCAGAUAUCAGGAAGAACACCCGUGGCGAAGGCGGCUCUCUGGGACGGUACUGACGCUGAGACGCGAAAGCGUGGGGAGCGAACAGG
rnacentral:rRNA from 1 species